rnacentral:lncRNA from 1 species
GUUCUUCUGGAUCCCUUUUGUCUACUUCUAUUAUGAAGAAAAGGAUGAUGAUGAUACUAGUAAAUGUACUCAAAUUAAAACGGCACUCAAGUAUACUUUGGGAUUUGUUGUGAUUUGUGCACUGCUUCUUUUAGUUGGGUAAGUCUUGAUUUUUUUUUUUUAAACCAUGAAAUGGAAAUAGAAUUAUUUGAAAAAAAAAAUAAAAGGAUCAUUCAGAAAAAUCUAGGAAAGAAAAAAAUGUAAGAAAAAAGAACAAUCCACUCUCUAAAUCUCCAAGGAACAAUAGCCACAAUUUAACAGUUUUGUCUAUGUUGUUUCAUCUAGACAUUUUUAUGUGCUUGAAUGCAAGCAGAGUUCACCUCCCUUCUUGCAUGCAUUCUACAUGCUUUUUACACAAAUGUGAUUAUGUUUUAUAUAAUUCUUGGUAAUCUGCCUGUUAACAUAUUGUGGGCAUCUCUGCAGGAUAGUAAGUGUAGCUCCAUCAAUUUUGACUAUAUUGCGUUUCCUUCUAAGGAUACAAAAAUAUAUUUAACUGAUCUUCUAGUGAUGACUGCUUAGACAUUUAUAAUGUUUCCCCAUUAUAAAUAACACUUUGAUG